UACGGGGGGUGCGAGCGUUGUCCGGAAUCACUGGGCGUAAAGGGCGCGUAGGUGGUUUGAUAAGGGUGUGGGUGAAAAGUCCGGGGGCUCAACCCCGGAUCUGCCGUGCCGACUGUCAAACUCGAGGACUGUAGAGGCAGACGGAAUUCCGGGGUGUAGCGGUGGAAUGCGUAGAGAGUCCGGAGGAAGACCGGUGGCGAAGGCGGUCUGCUGGGCAGUUUCUGACACUGAGGCGCGACAGCGUGGGGAGCAAACAGG
rnacentral:rRNA from 1 species